GACGAACGCUGGCGGCGUGCUUAACACAUGCAAGUCGAACGAAGUGGCGAACGGGUGAGUCAUACGUGGGUGACCUGCACUCCUUGUUGGGAUAAGCAUUGGAAACGGGGUAUAAUACCGAAUAAAGGGGGAGGGGCUCGCGGCCUAUCGGGUGGUUGGUGGGGUGAUGGCGUAUCAAGGCGGUAACGGGUUGCAGGCCUGAGAGGUUGAACGGGCACAUGGAGACUGAGAAACGGCCCAGACGCCGACGGGAGGGAGCAGUGGGGUAUAUUGCACAAUGGGCGAAAGCCUGAUGCAGCGUGGCCGCGGGGGGUAUUAAGGCUUUCGGGUUGUAAACGUCUGUCGCUAGCGAACGGUUAGGUGGAGAAGAAGCGCCGGCUAACUACGUGCCAGCAGCCGCGGUAAUUC
rnacentral:rRNA from 1 species